CCUACGGGAGGCAGCAGUGAGGAAUAUUGGGCAAUGGGGGCAACCCUGACCCAGCCAUGCCGCGUGAGUGAAGAAGGUCUUCGGUUUGUAAAGCCCCUUUGGACGUGACGAUGAUGCCGGGAGUGUUCAAAGAAGCAGCGGCCAAGUACUUGCCCGCAGCCGUGGUACUACGAAGGGAGCGGGCGUAGUUCGGAAUUACGGGGCGUAAAGGGGGUGUAGGCGGUUAUGUAAGUUAGCGGGGAAAGGCCCGGGCUCAACCCCGGAACUGCCAUUAUGACUCUGUCUCUAGAGUAAUGGAGAGGAUAGCGGAAUACCCAGUGUAGAGGUGAAAUUCGUAGAUAUUGGGUAGAACACCGGUGGCGAAGGCAGCUAUCUGGCCAUUUACUGACGCUGAGGCUCGAAAGCAUGGGGAUCAAACAGGAUUAGAUACCCGAGUAGUC
rnacentral:rRNA from 1 species